CCCUUAGAUGUUCUGGGCCGCACGCGCGCUACACUGAUUCAUGCAGCAAGUUUUGUCCUUGGCUGAUAGGCCUGGGUAAUCUUUGAACGUGAAUCGUGAUGGGGAUAGAUGAUUGCAAUUAUUCAUCUUCAACGAGGAAUUCCUAGUAAACGCAAGUCAUCAGCUUGCAUUGAUUACGUCCCUGCCCUUUGUACACACCGCCCGUCGCACCUACCGAUUGAAUGGUCCGGUGAAAUCUUCGGAUCUGAGAGAUGUCUGAUUAAUUUCGGACGCCUUUUGGAAAAGUUGUUUAAACCUUACCAUUUAGAGGAAGGUGAAGUCGUAACA
rnacentral:rRNA from 1 species